GUGGGGAAUUUUGGACAAUGGGGGCAACCCUGAUCCAGCCAUGCCGCGUGUGUGAUGAAGGCCUUCGGGUUGUAAAGCACUUUCGGACGGAACGAAAUCGCACGGGCGAAUAUCCCGUGUGGAUGACGGUACCGUAAGAAGAAGCACCGGCUAACUACGUGCCAGCAGCCGCGGUAAUACGUAGGGUGCGAGCGUUAAUCGGAAUUACUGGGCGUAAAGGGUGCGCAGGCGGCCCCGCAAGUCAGGCGUGAAAUCCCCGAGCUUAACUUGGGAAUGGCGCUUGAAACUAUGGGGCUGGAGUGUGGCAGAGGGAGGUGGAAUUCCACGUGUAGCGGUGAAAUGCGUAGAUAUGUGGAGGAACACCGAUGGCGAAGGCAGCCUCCUGGGCCAACACUGACGCUCAUGCACGAAAGCGUGGGGAGCAAACAGGAUUAGAAACCCCGGUAGUCC
rnacentral:rRNA from 1 species